rnacentral:rRNA from 1 species
UACGUAGGGUGCGAGCGUUAAUCGGAAUUACUGGGCGUAAAGCGUGCGCAGGCGGUUUUGUAAGCCAGAUGUGAAAUCCCCGGGCUCAACCUGGGAAUGGCAUUUGGGACUGCAAGGCUUGAGUGCGGCAGAGGAGACUGGAAUUCCUGGUGUAGCAGUGAAAUGCGUAGAUAUCAGGAGGAAUACCGAUGGCGGAAGGCAGGUCU